UCACUAGACCUGAUUUUUUUUUAGCAGCAGCUCUUGAAUAAACAGCAAACCUUACUGACUGAAAAACUCAAACUCCAACUGCUCGCAGGCACAGUAGAGAGAAUGAGAAGUGUCUGACAUGUGAAGUAAAACGAGCAUGGCCCCAUCGAAUGGUGGAAAAGAAGCAGGCUCUACAGGGUGUGUGGUUGGGUUUCAUGUGAACCCUUACCUGUUUUUCUUUAAUUUACACAUUCCAAUUCCCACUCUUUGUGACUUCUAGAAACAGAAUGUUAUCUGAGCCAAUUAUCUAUGUGCAUUUUCUCUUCAUCUCUCUCCUGAGCCAAAUUCUGAUUUAAUUUCCUCCCAUGGUGAUAUGCAGCCAUGACCGUAGGCCAGUUGGGCCCAUCACAUUUGAAUGAAUGUGAUUAGACAGAUGUGAGAUGGCUCAAUCCCAGAUGCUUCCUCUAAGCGCUAUUGUGGAUGUGGAGAGAAACAUUAUCGGUUGUACUUUUAAUAUUCAGCAAAUUGUCUCAAAAUGGCCCCUAGGCACACAUAUGGUUCAGCAGCUCGCUGGCAUUCCAAUCUCGCAAUAAGUGAAAUUCUAACUUCAGUAAUACAUUAACUUGGGAACUUUGGACAUAUCUCACAAAAUCUGUGAGAUAUCUAACCAUGUCAUUUUACCAAUAUCCACACACAAGUCUAGAACGAUUACAAUGUAUAAACCUAGAAAUUUGGGACAUCUGGUUUACCAGUUGCUCUGCCUCUAGCUCAGCUUUCGAAGAUGCUCCUGUUUACAAUGAACAGACAAGAUUAUUUCACGCAGAUGGAAGGUCUUGCUGUUGGAGUUAAACACAUUUGACUCAAUCAAUAGAGUUAUUGUUCUGGGACCAAAAUGUCUCUGACUCAUAACCUUGCUUUUGCUCUUCAUAUCAAAUGAGUGUGAUAUUAAUUUCCAGCCCUGCAGUGGUAGAAUCCUCCCAGCAAUAUAAGAAGAUGGAAGAAAUAAGAACGUCGGUCAAGCACUCCCCUGAUAUACCUUUUCAUUUUACCAGUCACACCACAGUAGGAGAACAAAUAUUACAGGCUCAUGUACAGUGCUAUAACUAGUCCACUAAAUGACAAGAGCCUGCCGUCCUCAGUAAUUCUCAUUUAGGAUGUGUUUCUUCUCUAAUAGGUUUCCCUCCAAAUGCUUUGUGUCAUGAAUUCACUACAGCAAAAAACUUUAAGAAUCUGAAAUUCAUUGCAGCUAUCCUGCAUUUGCAGCCCAGAAAUUACAGGAUCUAGCAGUCUUUGCUCUCUCAGUUUAAUCUGAACAUAAAUACAGGUAUUUGCUUCAACAGUCGCUAAAGGAAAACUAUAACACUGUCAAAACAAACUUGGAGAAGCUGCCUGAAAAUGGUGUUCAUUUCCCUUUUCUUUCAGCAUUCUUCUUGGUUAGCACAACUCAGAGGAGUGCACCAGUAGAGUUACUACCUUUUUUCUUUCAGUGAGGGGGAAAGCCACCACCGUAUGCCACAUUUUUUUUCUAAAAGCAAAACCCAAACAGAAAAGGUAUUUGCUCUUAGCAAAUAAUCAAAAUGCAGCAAAUGAACUGUCUCAACAUGGUUGCUUUGUGGGGGUCACCUUGUUGGUUGGCAGUGAAAAUCGACUCCUGAAAUAAAAAGAAAAAUUCAAAUGUGAUAACCGGUCUUCAGAUUUUAUCACCUUUAACUCAUAAGCAC
rnacentral:lncRNA from 1 species